UUGAACGCUGGCGGCAUGCCUUACACAUGCACGUCGAACGGCAGCACGGGUGCUUGCACCUGGUGGCGAGUGGCGAACGGGUGAGUAAUACAUCGGAACAUGUCCUGUAGUGGGGGAUAGCCCGGCGAAAGCCGGAUUAAUACCGCAUACGAUCUACGGAUGAAAGCGGGGGACCUUCGGGCCUCGCGCUAUAGGGUUGGCCGAUGGCUGAUUAGCUAGUUGGUGGGGUAAAGGCCUACCAAGGCGACGAUCAGUAGCUGGUCUGAGAGGACGACCAGCCACACUGGGACUGAGACACGGCCCAGACUCCUACGGGAGGCAGCAGUGGGGAAUUUUGGACAAUGGGCGAAAGCCUGAUCCAGCAAUGCCGCGUGUGUGAAGAAGGCCUUCGGGUUGUAAAGCACUUUUGUCCGGAAAGAAAUCCUUGGCCCUAAUACGGUCGGGGGAUGACGGUACCGGAAGAAUAAGCACCGGCUAACUACGU
rnacentral:rRNA from 1 species